rnacentral:rRNA from 1 species
UACGAAGGGGGGCUAGCGUUGUUCGGAUUUUACUGGGCGUAAAAGCGCACGUAGGCGGAUCGAUCAGUCAGGGGUGAAAUCCCAGAGCUCAACUCUGGAACUGCCUUUUGAUACUGUCGAUCUGGAGUAUGGAAGAGGUGAGUGGAAUUCCGAGUGUAGAGGUGAAAAUUCGUAGAUAUUCGGAGGAAACACCAGUGGCGAAGGCGGCUCACUGGUCCAUUACUGACGCUGAGGUGCGAAAGCGUGGGGAGCAAACAGG